rnacentral:misc_RNA from 1 species
GAUGAAGAACGCAGCGAAAUGCGAUAAGUAGUGUGAAUUGCAGAAUUCCGUGAAUCAUCGAAUCUUUGAACGCACAUUGCGCCUUCUGGUAUUCCGGAAGGCAUGCCUGUUCGAGAGUCAUUAACAACCGUUUCGAUCCCUUUCUUUCAGAAAUUACAAAGAGGAAAAGGGUUUGGUUAUGGUGGAGGAGGGAAAGGGAGCGUUUAGCCUGUAAAAAAAGAGGCUGUGUUCCGCCGCCCCCCCAAAAUUGUACAGGCGGUCGUGUGCGCCCACGCAUCGAGGUGUUGUAAAAGCUGCCACGGCACUUUUCACCUGUGCAGUGCGAGAUUGGCCAGCCGGUUUAAAAACCCCUCCAAACAAUCAAAGGUUGACCUCGGAUCAGGUAGGGAUACCCGCUGAACUUAAGCAUAUCAAUAAGCGAGGA